CAAUAGGAACGCUGCCCAAGCUGCCAAUGCAGGGCAGGAAUAACAGAGUGUUCAACGUGGUGACAAUUUCCCAGCUCCCCAGGCUUUUUGCUUCUAGAGCUGAUGUUUGAAGCUGGCUCGUGCCCACACCAGUUGGAAAUCAUCACCAUCUGAGACCUGGUCCUAUAAUGCAAAAAAUUCUCCAAGACUCAUCUCAGAAGUGGCUACGAAGGCAGGGAGCACAGUGCAUACAACGGGAUCAUGGAAGGAAAGAGGGAGAGAAUUCGAUCUUUUGCUUCAAUGACAUCAUCAGCACACGGCAGAAGUUGGGAAAUGACACCUGUCCCAGAACACAGGAGCAUUUGGAAGUCAGGCUGGAGCUGGAGCUUGCAGCUCUGGCAGUCUCCUAGCAAGGGAACCUCCCUCGGUGCUCCGCCAGGGCCGCUCUGCUGUGUGUGACAUCACCAAGUGGAAAAUGGCAAUAGCACGCUAAAAUACAUUUGCACAAGGCAUGAGAUUGAGCACCAGAGUCUACAAAGAUGGAUUUUUCAGGAGAACGUGUCCCUGUCCAGCACAGUAAUUCAUCUUCAUCUAAUAAGAUAUAGAGCCCAGUCAAGCAUGCGUAAAUCAUUCCUUGUUUGUUCUCUUUGUGCUGGGCGUGGAUGGGAUUAGAGUGCUUUGGACACUGUUUAUGUCAAAGAGGAGAAGUGUUGCAGUGUGAAGAUAAAGAAGGAGAAUGCUCCUUUGCUGCAGGCAAAGUGUGCACCUCCAUCAGUUUGCAGUCUGCUUCAAACAGCAAGUAGUGUUUGGGAGAGCAGAAUACUAAUUGUAGAAAAGAAUUAACAAACAAUGUUCUGUACGAGUUGAGAAGUUCUGACAGUGCCCUUCAGUGAAAAACACCAGCCUCCAAAGUGGACUGAGGGAGGAGCUCCUCGGCAGAAAUCCCAGCUCCUCAGUUCUUUGCUGGCUGUGUUGCUCACUUAUGGUGAACUUGGGCUUUCUCCCUGAACUCAGUGUGGCUCAGCCUUCCCAGAGCCUCCUGCAUGCCCUGAUCUCCUGUGUGUCCAGAGCAGUGGCCCUUGAGUCGUUUGCAGACUCUGGGGAGAUAGUUACAAAUGGGUGAGUUGUUAGAGCGUCACAGUCGCCGUGGUGUGCCAGAGAUAUCGGCUGUGCUCCCCCUGCUGCACUGAAGGAUGGCAGGAGCAUCUCUUCCUGUGCACAAAUCCAUAUAAUCACAGAUGCCUGUGACACUUCAGAAGCAGGUAGUGGGCAGGGAGCUGCAUCCAGAUUAUUUCAUGUGAAUCCCCUGAGUUGUCCAGCUGCCUCUGUGCCCUCUCCUGCAGAGUUUGUGGCUCAGGAGCAGGCACGACGUGCAAGAGCUGUGGCACACCAUGGCUAAAUGAAAUUAAGUGGUAAGGCUGACAUGCCAAAGCAGCAUUUUCCAGGCACAGCUCCUAGGAAACUUGACAGGGAAUUGCAUACAAUAUUUGUGGCAUUAUAAAGUGUUAUAAUUCACUGCUAUUAUAUGACCACCAGCUGCUAGCUUAAACCUACUAUAAUUUCUGCUCUAGAGCAACCAAGCUGAAAGGUAGAAUUCAACUCCUUGUGAUGGUAGUCCCCUUUUUCAUAUAUUUGCACAAUAUCUAGUGCAGUGGGGCACUGUUAACAAUAGGAAGUUUUAGCUUUUAAUUUUAAUCUUCAGUCUGUCUGGGUUAGCAUUUGCCUUUAAGGUGACUUAACAUUUUGCAUGUAAUUACAGUCUCUGGAUCUUCGAAAAGAACUGUUUCUCUUGAGUUUUCUGAGUGGAAUAAAAUACACUUAUUAGCCUGUAACCUUUUUUAA
rnacentral:lncRNA from 1 species